rnacentral:rRNA from 1 species
GUGGGGAAUAUUGGGCAAUGGGCGAAAGCCUGACCCAGCAACGCCGCGUGAAGGAAGAAGGCCCUCGGGUUGUAAACUUCUUUUAAGAGGGACGAAAGAAAUGACGGUACCUCUUGAAUAAGCCACGGCUAACUACGUGCCAGCAGCCGCGGUAAUACGUAGGUGGCGAGCGUUAUCCGGAUUUACUGGGUGUAAAGGGCGUGUAGGCGGGAGUGCAAGUCAGAUGUGAAAAUUAUGGGCUCAACCCAUAACCUGCAUUUGAAACUGUUCUUCUAGAGUGAUGGAGAGGCAGGCGGAAUUCCGUGUGUAGCGGUGAAAUGCGUAGAUAUACGGAGGAACACCAGUGGCGAAGGCGGCCUGCUGGACAUUAACUGACGCUGAGGCGCGAAAGCGUGGGGAGCAAACAGGAUUAGAAACCCGUGUAGUCC